GUUGUUGCCUGAGUUGUUGAUGUUAGCCAUUUUAACAGGUUUGAAGUUUUCCACACUAAAAAGUUUUUAAAAAUCGCCUUGGAGGAGAAGAAAAUUACACAAAAUACUGGAAGAAUGUGUGAGAAACUAUUAAGUCGUUACCAGUGGGGUGGGGAAGGAAAGGCAGAUGAAGGACAGGAUGGAGGUAAAACUUUACACAUUUUAUGUUGAGUAAGUUUUUAAGUAUGUGUUCAAAAUUUUAAUCUGAAAAAGGAGAAAACUACUAAUUUGACUUAAGUGUAUGUAUUUUUCAUUUCCAAAAUGCUUGUGCUUUUGCCUUUACAUUUUGCUUUAUAACAGCAUAUUCUUUUAAAUACUGCAAAA